CUUGUCUCAAAGAUUAAGCCAUGCAUGUCUCAGUGCAAGCCGAAUUAAGGUGAAACCGCGAAAGGCUCAUUAAAUCAGCUAUGAUUCAAUUGAUGGUACGAUCACGGUUACUUGGAUAACUGUGGCAAUUCUAGAGCUAAUACAUGCCAAACGAGUUCCGACCGCGGGUUCGAACGAUCUCGCGGAACGAAUGCUUUUAUUAGAACAAAACCAAUCGGAUCUAUCAUUCGUUCGAAUGACAGAUCCGCAAAUCUAAGACGAAUCUGAAUAACUUUGAGCUGAUCGCACGGUCCAUAGAACCGGCGACGCAUCUUUCAAAUGUCUGACUUAUCAACUUUCGAUGGUAGGUUACGCGCCUACCAUGGUGAUAACGGGUGACGGGGAAUCAGGGUUCGAUACCGGAGAGGGAGCCUGAGAAACGGCUACCACAUCCAAGGAAGGCAGCAGGCGCGCAAAUUACCCACUCCCGGCACGGGGAGGUAGUGACGAAAAAUAACGAUGCAGGACUCUUUUCGAGGCUCUGCAAUCGGAAUGAGAACACUCUAAAUCAUUUAACGAGUAUCCAUUGGAGGGCAAGUCUGGUGCCAGCAGCCGCGGUAAUUCCAGCUCCAAUAGCGUAUAUUAAAGUUGCUGCGGAUAAAAAGCUCGUAGUUUGAUUUGUGUUCCGAGCAGUCGGUACGCCGUUCGUCGGCGGUCAACUGACUCGCGGCGGAACGUCCUGCCGGUUGACGGAGCGGGUGGCGGCGGCGGCGCGAGUCGUCGCCGCUUCGAGUCGUCGGACCGGAGAGCAGCACCCGAUCUCCGGAUCGCGGCGCGCGCUUCGCGUCCGACGACGUUUCUGCGUCCGUCAGUCUUAGAAAAUCCCGUCGCGGCGCUCUUAACCGAGUGACGCGCCGGGCCGGCACGUUUACUUUGAACAAAACUGAGUGCUUAAAGCAGGCCGAACCCCAGCGCCUGAAAGUCGGAUGCAUGGAAUAAUGGAAUAGGGCCUCGGUUCUAUUUUGUUGGUUUUCGGAAUUUCCGAGGCAAUGAUUAAUGGGGACAGGCGGGGGCAUUAGUAUUGCGGCGUUAGAGGUGAAAUUCUUGGAUCGUCGCAAGACUAACCUAAGCGAAAGCAUUUGCCAAGGAUGUUUUCCUUAAUCAAGAACGAAAGUUGGAGGUUCGAAGGCGAUCAGAUACCGCCCUAGUUCUUACCGUAAACUAUGCCGGCUAGCGAUCCGUCGAUGUUCGUUCAGAUGAUUCGGCGGGCAGCUUGAGGGAAACCAAAGCCUUCGGGUUCCGGGGGAAGUAUGGUUGCAAAGCUGAAACUUAAAGGAAUUGACGGAAGGGCACCACCAGGAGUGGAGCUUGCGGCUUAAUUUGACUCAACACGGGAAACCUCACCAGGCCCGGACACCGGAAGGAUUGACAGAUCAAGAGCUCUUUCUUGAUUCGGUGGGUGGUGGUGCAUGGCCGUUCUUAGUUGGUGGAGCGAUUUGUCUGGUUAAUUCCGAUAACGAACGAGACUCUAGCCUGUUAACUAGGCGACGAUCCGCGGACCCUUACACGGGGUAUCCGGCGGAUCAUCCGGCAUGGGAGGGCGGCGCGCUCCGUCGCGUCGUCUUCGAACUCGCUGCCGGCGACGGAAUUUCUUCUUAGAGGGACAAGCGGCUUCUAGCCGCGCGAGAUUGAGCAAUAACAGG
rnacentral:rRNA from 1 species